UUUGCUAGAAUACAAACAAUUAAUGCAAUUAACCCUGACCACUAAACUCUUUUGGGGAAGAAAAAUAAUCUAGUUUUACAUGUACUAAGUGUCCAAAAAUAAUUGAAAAGAAAGAAAUAUUUUUGCUUCAUUCAGAUUCCUGAAAUUGGCAGAAGAAAUAGUACCUUAUUAAAAAACUAGAAGCUGUGUCUGAAUUAAAACUUCCUGCUCAUUUUUCCCUGAGCUACACAAAAUAAAUCUCUUCAGGAAAUUGAAGAUUUACAAACUCAGUCCUCUUCCUGAACACUUAGCCACAUGACUGAUGUAAUAAGAGAGCUUGGCAGCUUAGUUACAGAUUAUGAGUUUGGGGGCAGGGAGUUAAAGAACAGCGAAUACCAUAUCUGUCCUGGCCAACCCAGCAGUUGUGGACUUUUUUUGUUCAUGAGGUGAAAGGCUAAAGAACCUCCAUGUCUUCAACUGAUCCAAAGUUUCUCCAACCUGGACCAUCCUCUAAAAUGUAGCACCCAGAAGUCAACACAAUAUGUCAGGAGGUAAUGAAAAUAAACAAAGCAUCAAUGACCAAGAGGGCCAGAUACCAUUUCAGGCCAGGUGGCCUAACUCCAACUCCCUGUGUUGCUAGAGAAUGUGUCCUGGAUUUCUCUACCUAACCCCAGCACAUGGAUAUGAACCAUUGAAUAUCACGCCAAUUCUUGAAGGUUGAAAAGAAAUCUCUUGUUCAAAGGCUUAUCACAGCCCCUUCACCAAAUUUGUAGGCAAGACAAUCCAUCAUCAUGAGUUGCUUUGGCCAAAAUAAUUUAUCACCUGGUAGCCAGUUUUCUGGGAAUGAGCCACUCCAAACAAGAACUAAACCAGUCUUUGGAUGACAAAUACAAUCUGCUCCAGACUGUCCACAAAGCCUUUCCAAUUCAUUAGGACCUGCCAGCCCUUGAGCUCCUUUGGGAAGAUGGAAGCAUUUCUGUGCCAGGAUGAAAUAUCCAAGGAAGACUUUAGUGGAGGAAAUUUUUGAACAGAAUAUAACUGGUUUUCCUUGUCUUUUUCUAAGUGCAUUGUUUCUAUGUUGACUGUUACACCUCUUAAUUAUUUCU